AUUGAUUCUCCAGAAAAUAUGAUGCGUCACAUCAGGUUUUUAAAGAAUGAAGUGGAACGGCUGAAGAAGCAACUGAGAGCUGCUCAGUUACAGCAUUCAGAGAAAAUGGCACAGUAUCUGGAGGAGGAACGUCACAUGAGAGAAGAGAACUUGAGGCUGCAGAGGAAGCUGCAGAGGGAGAUGGAGAGAAGAGAAGCCCUCUGUCGACAGCUCUCCGAGAGUGAGUCCAGCUUAGAAAUGGACGACGAAAGGUGUGUGCAUGUCUUAUGAGCCUUGUUUUUGUUUAAAAAAUAAAACCCAGGUUCUACAGAGGUUUUCUUUGGUAUCCUGUUAGAUGUAUAAGGGGAUGGCUUAAAUAUGUAUUUAUUGUGCUAAUGAAUGCCACUGCGUUAUAGUAGAUGCCAAGAAUGGGAUAAAGAUUGAACAUUUUCCUUAAACACAAAAAGAUGAAAAAAAUCACCGCUCUAAAAUUAUUUGGUGGGGAGAGAAAUGGAGACAGGGUUAUAUUAGAGAAGCAGCAGAGUUUGCAUUUGUUGCUGAAUUAGUUUAAUCCAGUGUCAUAUCUGUUUAAAGCAUGGGAACAUAUUAAUUCCUGUACUGUAUAAGGAUAAGCAAGCUAUAGUGCAGCUCGAGGAAAACAGUGCAUGCAUAGGUUGAAAGGAAUCAGCAGGGACACAGGUGGGGGUUGUUGAAAUCCCAAGGACUUGCCUUAACACACUUGAUAACUUU
rnacentral:sRNA from 1 species